rnacentral:rRNA from 1 species
AUUGAACGCUGGCGGCAGGCCUAACACAUGCAAGUCGAGCGGAGCGGCGGACGGGUGAGUAAUGCCUAGGAAUCUGCCUGUUAGUGGGGGAUCACGUCCGGAAACGGGCCCUAAUACCGCAUACUAUCAGAUGAGCCUCGGGCGGAUUAGCUAGUUGGUGGGGUAAAGGCCUACCAAGGCGACGAUCCGUAACUGGUCUGAGAGGAUGAUCAGUCACACUGGAACUGAGACACGGUCCAGACUCCUACGGGAGGCAGCAGUGGGGAAUAUUGGACAAUGGGCGAAAGCCUGAUCCAGCCAUGCCGCGUGUGUGAAGAAGGUCUUCGGAUUGUAAAGCACUUUAAGUUGGGAGGCGGUACCAACAGAAUAAGCAACGGCUAACUCCGUGCCAGCCGCCGCGGUAAUAC